CUGGAAUCUUGAGCAAGACACAAAGUGCUGGAGGAACUCAACUGCACAGGCAGAAUUUGCGGAGAGAAUGAACAGGCG